CAGCAGCCGCGGUAAUACGAGGGGAGCUAGCGUUGUUCGGAAUUACUGGGCGUAAAGCGCGCGUAGGCGGCUUUUUAAGUCAGAGGUGAAAGCCCGGGGCUCAACCCCGGAAUUGCCUUUGAAACUGGAAAGCUAGAAUCUUGGAGAGGUCAGUGGAAUUCCGAGUGUAGAGGUGAAAUUCGUAGAUAUUCGGAAGAACACCAGUGGCGAAGGCGACUGACUGGACUAGUAUUGACGCUGAGGUGCGAAAGCGUGGGGAGCAAACAGGAUUAGAUACCCGAGUAGUCCCUGUCUCUUAUAC
rnacentral:rRNA from 1 species